UAUCAGGGUAAGCCGUAACGCUGGCUUUUUUGCUCCGUAGUGGGGGACGGGUGAGUAAUGUCUGGGAAACUGCCUGAUGGAGGGGGAUAACUACUGGAAACGGUAGCUAAUACCGCAUAACGUCGCAGGACCAAAGAGGGGGACCUUCGGGCCUCUUGCCAUCGGAUGUGCCCAGAUGGGAUUAGCUAGUAGGUGGGGUAACGGCUCACCUAGGCGACGAUCCCUAGCUGGUCUGAGAGGAUGACCAGCCACACUGGAACUGAGACACGGUCCAGACUCCUACGGGAGGCAGCAGUGGGGAAUAUUGCACAAUGGGCGCAAGCCUGAUGCAGCCAUGCCGCGUGUAUGAAGAAGGCCUUCGGGUUGUAAAGUACUUUCAGCGGGGAGGAAGGGAGUAAAGUUAAUACCUUUGCUCAUUGACGUUACCCGCAGAAGAAGCACCGGCUAACUCCGUGCCAGCAGCCGCGGUAAUACGGAGGGUGCAAGCGUUAAUCGGAAUUACUGGGCGUAAAGCGCACGCAGGCGGUUUGUUAAGUCAGAUGUGAAAUCCCCGGGCUCAACCUGGGAACUGCAUCUGAUACUGGCAAGCUUG
rnacentral:rRNA from 1 species